rnacentral:lncRNA from 1 species
GUUGGCAGCUCUUGUGAUUUCUUAUUUAUACUUACACCUUGGGGGUGUACUCUGUGGUGUUUUAGUUCACUUUGAACAAUUUUCAUGUCCCUGUUAUAUUGAGGGGGCAUUAAGUUUUACCCUUGUCCUUCUAUACAUCCAUCUGUACGUCUGUACAACCAUACAUCUGUAUGUUCCAAAUUGGUUUCUGUUCUCUCACUUUAGUUUG